CAGUAGCCGCGGGAAUACGGAGGAUCCAAGCGUUAUCCGGAAUCAUUGGGUUUAAAGGGUCCGUAGGCGGUCUUGUAAGUCAGUGGUGAAAGCCCAUCGCUUAACGGUGGAACGGCCAUUGAUACUGCAGGACUUGAAUUAUUGGGAAGUAACUAGAAUAUGUAGUGUAGCGGUGAAAUGCUUAGAGAUUACAUGGAAUACCAAUUGCGAAGGCAGGUUACUACCAAUUGAUUGACGCUGAUGGACGAAAGCGUGGGUAGCGAACAGGAUUAGAUACCCCAGUAGUCCCUGUCUCUUAUAA
rnacentral:rRNA from 1 species